rnacentral:tRNA from 1 species
GUGAAUUUAGUUUAAAAUAAAACUUUUACCUUGCACGUAAAAACUACCAAGUUUAAAUCUUGUAAUCCAC